UGGUAAUGCCGGAUGCUCCGGUUGGAUGCAUGUCCUUCCGGGAAAGGUUCCAUCGGUAUGGGAUGGGGUCGCGUCCUAUCAGCUUGAUGGCGGGGUAACGGCCCACCAUGGCUUCGACGGGUAGCCGGCCUGAGAGGGCGACCGGCCACAUUGGGACUGAGAUACGGCCCAGACUCCUACGGGAGGCAGCAGUGGGGAAUAUUGCACAAUGGGCGCAAGCCUGAUGCAGCGACGCCGCGUGCGGGAUGGAGGCCUUCGGGUUGUAAACCGCUUUUGAUCGGGAGCAAGCCCUUCGGGGUGAGUGUACCUUUCGAAUAAGCACCGGCUAACUACGUGCCAGCAGCCGCGGUAAUACGUAGGGUGCAAGCGUUAUCCGGAAUUAUUGGGCGUAAAGGGCUCGUAGGCGGUUCGUCGCGUCCGGUGUGAAAGCCCAUCGCUUAACGGUGGGUCUGCGCCGGGUACGGGCGGGCUGGAGUGCGGUAGGGGAGACUGGAAUUCCCGGUGUAACGGUGGAAUGUGUAGAUAUCGG
rnacentral:rRNA from 1 species